rnacentral:tRNA from 1 species
UCCCUGGAGGUACAGCGGUUAGGACUCAGCACUUUCAGUGCCAGGGCCCAGGUUCAAAUCCCGGUCAGGGAA